AGCGAACGCUGGCGGCAGGCUUAACACAUGCAAGUCGAACGGGAGUAUUGAAGAAGCUUGCUUUAGAGAUACUUUAGUGGCGGACGGGUGAGUAACGCGUGAGGAGCUGUCCUAUGCAGGGGGACAACAGUUGGAAACGACUGCUAAUACCCCAUAAGCCGAGAGGUAAAAGGAUUUAUCCGGCAAUGGAGGUACUCGCGUCCUAUCAGCUAGUAGGUGAGGUAACGGCUCAACUAGGCGAAGACGGGUAGCCGGCCUGGGAGGGCGAACGGCCACACUGGAACGGAGAUACGGUCCUGACGCCGACGGGAGGCAGCAGUGGGGAAUAUUGGGCAAUGGGGGGAACCCUGACCCAGCGACGCCGCGUGGGUGAUGACGGCCUUCGGGUUGUAAAGCUCUUUUGUCCGGGAAGAUAAUGACUGUACCGGAAGAAUAAGCCCCGGCAAACUUCGUGCCAGCAGCCGCCGCAG
rnacentral:rRNA from 1 species